rnacentral:rRNA from 2 species
GAUUUCUGGCGCUGUGUAUGCGGCCCGCCACGGUUACGUGUGUGAGUGCCGCGGUAUGCAUGCCAUCCUUCUAGAUCCAUUCUUCUCUCUUCAUUGAGUGGAAGAAUAGUCUAGAUCGUUUACUUUGAAAAAAUUAGAGUGUUUAAAGCAGGCUUUUGCUAUGAAUACAUUAGCAUGGAAUAAUAAUUUAGGACUUCGGUUCUAUUUUGUUGGUUUUGCGUACUGAAGUAAUGAUUGAUAGGGAUAGUUGGGGGUGCUAGUAUUCAGUGGCCAGAGGUGAAAUUCUCGGAUUCACUGAAGACUAACUUAUGCGAAAGCAUU